GACGAACGCUGGCGGCGUGCUUAACACAUGCAAGUCGAACGAUGAAGCUAGAGCUUGCUCUGGUGGAUUAGUGGCGAACGGGUGAGUAACACGUGAGUAACCUGCCCCGAACUCUGGGAUAACUGCUGGAAACGGUAGCUAAUACCGGAUAUGACCAAUGAAGGCAUCUUCUGUUGGUGGAAAGAAUUUCGGUUCGGGAUGGACUCGCGGCCUAUCAGCUUGUUGGUGAGGUAACGGCUCACCAAGGCGACGACGGGUAGCCGGCCGGAGAGGGUGAUCGACCACACUGGGACUGAGACACGGGCCAGACUCCUACGGGAGGCAGCAGUGGGGAAUAUUGCACAAUGGGCGCAAGCCUGAUGCAGCAACGCCGCGUGAGGGACGACGGCCUUCGGGUUGUAAACCUCUUUUAGUAGGGAAGAAGCGAAAGUGACGGUACCUGCAGAAAAAGCACCGGCUAACUACGUGCCAGCCGCCGCAGUAA
rnacentral:rRNA from 1 species